UUUUUUUAGAAGAGAUUUAUAGAUUGUAGUAAAGAUUUGAGAAGAUAUAAUGUGAAUAAUUUUGCGAAGUCAUAUGCGAUCCACGUAGAUUGUUUUUGACCGAACUUCUACCGGAUGCGAUACUGUCUUCAAUGGAAAGCGUUGUAACGUGCUAUGCAAGUUAAUUAAUGCAUUAGAAGGACUAUUCUUUCAACGAACUUUUCGAACCUGAAACCUUUAACAAAUGAAAGGAUAUUAAAAAAAAAAAAA